CUACUAUUGAUAGUAAAAAAUCUUUUUUGCUAUCAAAUUUUUUAGCCUUUGAAUCAAUUUUUUUCAUCAUUUCUAACCAUUGGAAUAAAUAUUAUAAUCCAGUAGAGACCACUCAACCUUAAGGGGAUCACUAAAUUCUAAAGAACUAAUAUCAUCCUAAUCCUACAAUUUUUUAUUAAAGGGUUAAAAACUUGAUAACAAAAAAGAUCUUUUGCUAUCAAUAGUAUUCGAGCCUAACUCUUUAUAUAUUAACUUAC
rnacentral:lncRNA from 1 species